CAGCAGCAGCCGCGGUAAUACGUAGGGUGCAAGCGUUAAUCGGAAUUACUGGGCGUAAAGCGUGCGCAGGCGGUUAUAUAAGACAGAUGUGAAAUCCCCGGGCUCAACCUGGGAACUGCAUUUGUGACUGUAUAGCUAGAGUACGGCAGAGGGGGAUGGAAUUCCGCGUGUAGCAGUGAAAUGCGUAGAUAUGCGGAGGAACACCGAUGGCGAAGGCAAUCCCCUGGGCCUGUACUGACGCUCAUGCACGAAAGCGUGGGGAGCAAACAGGAUUAGAUACCCGCGUAGUCCCUGUCUCUUAUAC
rnacentral:rRNA from 1 species